GGAUCUCUGGAACAUCGGAGGAUCUGGUUCUCUAUGGCUGAAGCAGAAGAUCAACAGAUCUGAGCUGAUGGCAAAGUCUUCACUGGAUCCUUUGGUGGAAUACAGGAAUCAGAUAUCAGAUGGAGGUCACCGGUAACUGAUGGACCCUCUCGGAAUCUCUGGAACAUUGGAGGAUCUGGUUCUCUAUGGCCAAAGCAGGAGAUCAACAGAUCUGAGCUGAUGGCAAAGUCUUCACUGGAUCCUUUGGUGGAAUACAGGAAUAUCAGCAGUUGAGCAAUGGUUCUUCAGAGGACUUGGAGGUUCUGGACACUGACAGCUCCAAAGGGAAAAGCAGAUUGGGCCCUAUCUGUUUUUGUCCAUACCCAAAACCAGAUGCUCAACAGAAUGCCGAAACAGAGGGGGAUGCUUAUUCUAUAGGCCUAUACUAUCUAAAGUUGAGGGAGAAAUUUGGUAUAAAACCUGUGUGAGUUCAUAACCAUAAAGCGGUGAUGCAUGCAAUUGUGCGAGCGGCUGUGCACGGAAUCAUCAAGCACUGCCUCAGAGAGAAACAAAAUGAGGAUUGUCCUGGGUGAUGCAUGCAAUUGUGCGAGCAGCUGUGCACGGAAUCAUCAAGCACUGCCUCAGAGAGAAACAAAAUGAGGAUUGUCCUGGGAGCACCAUAGAUGCCCCCGGUCAGAGGCAUCACAAAUGCAUGUACUGGUCUUUAGAUGCUGUGAAGUGUAAAAUUAAAGAAAUUAGCAGGUAGUUUGUAUAUGGAGCGUGUGUUAAAUAAAAUUAUCAUGUUGGGAUACGAACUGCAGUGCCUCCGGAACAUUUAGCUCUAGGGGCAGAAUUAGUGGACAAAUUGACAGAGGGCGAGGACCCAAAUAGCGUUUUUGAUUAAAUCAUCAAACCGACAGAUAAAUGUUUAAUGCUAAAUGUUGACCCUCUUCUUCGCUCAGCAAAUUACAAAAUCUUGCCAAGAAAAAACACUAAAAGUUAGAGCAUG